rnacentral:rRNA from 1 species
AUUGAACGCUGGCGGCAGGCUUAUCACAUGCAAGUCGAGCGGGGUGAUGGUGCUUGCACUAUCACUUAGCGGCGGACGGGUGAGUAAUGCUUAGGAAUCUGCCUAUUAGUGGGGGACAACAUCUCGAAAGGGAUGCUAAUACCGCAUACGUCCUACGGGAGAAAGCAGGGGAUCACUUGUGACCUUGUGCUAAUAGAUGAGCCUAAGGCGGAUUAGCUAGUUGGUGGGGUAAAGGCCUACCAAGGCGACGAUCUGUAGCGGGUCGGAGAUGAUGAUCGGCCACACGUGGACUGAGACACGGCCCAGAGUCCUACGGGAGGCAGCAGUGGGGAAUAUUGGACAAUGGGGGGAACCCUGAUCCAGCCAUGCCGCGUGUGUGAAGAAGGCCUGAUGGUUGUAAGCACUUUAAGCGAGGAGGAGGCUCUUUUGGUUAAUACCCAAGAUGAGUGGACGUUACUCGCAGAAUAAGCACCGGCUAACUCUGUGCCAGCAGCCGCCGCCG